UGCCCCAUGGCUGAGUUGGUUACAGCGUCUGACUGUUAUCACUAGGAAAACGCAGUGCAGAUUAUCAAUCAGAAGGUCAUGAGCUUGAGCUUCACUGGGGCAG